rnacentral:ncRNA from 1 species
CAAGAUUCUCGGGGUAAGGUGAAAUUCCUGACCGGCGGUGAGGUUCGCUGAAUAGCGAAUCGCAGCCCGCGACUCCCUCGCUUGGGCAAAUAAGCAAGGGACUGAUCUGGUUAAACUCCAGAGCCGACGGUACAGUCCGGAUGAGAGAGGAUCAAG